rnacentral:rRNA from 1 species
UUACGGGAGGCAGCAGUGGGGAAUAUUGGACAAUGGGGGCAACCCUGAUCCAGCAAUGCCGCGUGAGUGAUGAAGGCCUUCGGGUUGUAAAGCUCUUUUGCCAGGGACGAUAAUGACGGUACCUGGAGAAUAAGCCCCGGCUAACUUCGUGCCAGCAGCCGCGGUAAUACGAAGGGGGCUAGCGUUGUUCGGAAUUACUGGGCGUAAAGGGCGCGUAGGCGGUCUGAUAAGUUAGAUGUGAAAUUCCCGGGCUUAACCUGGGGGCUGCAUUUAAGACUGUCAGGCUUGAAUCCGGGAGAGGAUAGCGGAAUUCCCAGUGUAGAGGUGAAAUUCGUAGAUAUUGGGAAGAACACCAGUGGCGAAGGCGGCUAUCUGGACCGGCAUUGACGCUGAGGCGCGAAAGCGUGGGGAGCAAACAGGAUUAGAUACCCCGGUAGU